GAGAAGGGCGAAAAAUAAUUAAGGGUUCGCCCUUUAAUGAUAUUGUAUUGAUACUUUAUAUGUCAUUUGGACUAUGGAUAUUUGAUUAUAUUUAAUUUAUUUGAUUUAAUAUUAUUUAUAAUUAUUAAUAAUUAUUUAUUUAUUAAUUUAAUAUUAAUUAAUUAUUUAUAAUUUAUAAUUAUUAAUAAUUUAUUAUUAUCUAUUAAUUUAUUAUUAUUUAUAAUUAAUAAUUAAUUAAUUAAUUAAUUAGUUUUUUAUUAAUUAAUUAAUUAAUUAAUUUUUUACUAGUUAAUUAAUUAAUAAUUUAUAAUUACUUAUAAUUUAUCAUUAAUUAAUAAUUUAUAAUUAUUUAUAAUUUAUAAUUUAUUUUAUUAUUAUUUAGAUAAUUUAUAAUUUAUAAUUAUUNAAUUUAUAAUUUAUAAUUAUUAAUACUUUAUUAUUUAUAAUUUAUUAUUAUUUAAUUAAUUUAUUAUUUAUAAUUAUUAAUAUUAAUUUAUUAUUUUUAAGUAAUAUUUUGAUGUUAAUUAAUUAGAUAAAAUAAUUUUAAUUUAAAAUUAUAAUUCUUAUUCGUUUUGUUCCAAUCUAACAAUCCAAACACUAUUUGCCUUAUUCCUAGAAACAACUCAAUUUUCAUUUAAAUGUAAAAUUAGUCUAGUUCCUACUUAUACCUGAACUUGUACCUAUCCCUAGAAUAAGUAAUUCUUACUUAUACUCGAACCAAACGCAAAAAGUCUCCCUAAUAUGUAAUUGAAAAGGAUGGUCCGAUUUUGCCAAAAAAAAGAAAAUUACUAAAUUUUUUUAUGUAAAAUAACUAAAAUAAUAUAAUAUAAAAAAAUAAUAUGAAAGUAUAGAAUAAUAGGAGUUGAGCUGGACGUGCUUUU
rnacentral:lncRNA from 1 species